GACGAACGCUGGCGGCGUGCCUAACACAUGCAAGUCGUGCGAGAAAGUUCCUUCGGGAGCGAGUAAAGCGGCGCACGGGUGAGUAACACGUAGGUAACCUGCCCCCCAGUCUGGAACAACUAGAGGAAACUCUAGCUAAUGCCGGAUGAGACCACGAUCCCUUCGGGGGUUGCGGCCAAAGAUGGCCUCUACUUGUAAGCUAUCGCUGAGGGAUGGGCCUGCGGGCCAUUAGCUUGUUGGUGAGGUAACGGCUCACCAAGGCUGUGAUGGCUAGCUGGUCUGAGAGGAUGACCAGCCACACUGGGACUGAGACACGGCCCAGACUCCUACGGGAGGCAGCAGUGGGAAUAUUGCGCAAUGGGCGAAAGCCUGACGCAGCGACGCCGCGUGGGUGAUGAAGGCCU
rnacentral:rRNA from 1 species